CUCAAGCAGGCACUGAAAAGAACGAAUUUAAGCAAUCUAUUUUGACUCACAACAGACUUACAAUAUUUUGUUGACACUUGACAUGUUUAUUCUUUUAGCAAAAUUAUAAUCAUGUUUUAAUAUUUCCUGCAUGCAAUUAGCAGCUUUAUUCAAGAGACAACGAUGGCAUAUGAGUCCAGAAGAUAAGACCAACUAUGGCUUUCUGAAAUGAGUUGCUCCUGUCUCAGAAGGCUAUGUGUUACAGAUGUGAAAGGAUAAAUUCACCCCUGUGGUUGAUAUUUAUGGGAAUGCAAGGUGACAGCUGGAAUCUCAAAGACCUCCUGGAGCCUCACAGGGUGUUGCCAAUCAUCUUGGAAAUACACAGUCAUUUUCCAGGAAAGUUUUGUUUUCUAAAAAAAUCAGUCCAUCUACUCUGUUCAGAUGCUGUUGUGACCCCAUCUCUGAGUGAGUGUGGGCGGUUGGGGUGGAGUAGGUCAGGUUGGUCCCCUAUUCUGCCGCCCACUGACAGUUUUUCUUCUCUUCCUCAGGGAGCCAACCUUGCCCUUCGGGGCCUUUAUGCCAAACAAGCCUACAUUGUCUGCAUCAAAAGGACAGAAGAUUACAGAAUAAAAACAGAAAAAGGAGAAGAAGCAAUGAUUGAAAAGAAAAGCCACCUAUAUCCUCCUGCUAAGUUUCCCUUGAGAAGAAUGAGCAAAAUGAGCUCUAUAGCCUCAUAACCAUGGAAGGGAUUUCCUGUACAAUGUUCACAACUUUGGCAAGGUAAUGAUUAAGGCCUUACAACUUCUUAUAAAAUUUCUGGAAAGAUGGAAAUUACAUGGUUAGCUUUUA
rnacentral:lncRNA from 1 species